rnacentral:rRNA from 3 species
UACGGAGGGUGCAAGCGUUAUCCGGAUUCACUGGGUUUAAAGGGUGCGUAGGAGGGUUGGUAAGUCAGUGGUGAAAUCUCCGAGCUUAACUUGGAAACUGCCGUUGAUACUAUCAAUCUUGAAUAUCGUGGAGGUGAGCGGAAUAUGUCAUGUAGCGGUGAAAUGCUUAGAUAUGACAUAGAACACCAAUUGCGAAGGCAGCUCGCUACACGAAUAUUGACUCUGAGGCACGAAAGCGUGGGGAUCAAACAGG